ensembl:lncRNA
AGAGAGUGGAGAUGGAGAUUUUUCAAGAUUUCUUUGGAAAGUGUUACUGGUAUGAAUUGAGCCAAUUGAGAAGGCAUUCAACAGUUCCCUUUGGAGAACUCCAUAUGUGUCCUCUGCAGCUAGGCAGUUCCAAUGGACUUGGGUCUGGCUCCCCUCUGAAUACAAAAGAACGAGAGGCUGCCAGGCCGGAUGCUGGAUAAGAGGGGAUUCUGCAAAGGCUCUUGGGUUAGUUCACUUGUCCAUCCAUCCAUCCGCCCACCCAAGAACAUCCACUCAGGGCAUCCUAUGUGCCAGGCAUGGAGCUCACUGAUGAAUGAGACACAGCCCCUGGCCUUCAGGAGCUCCUGUUCCAGGAGGCCAAAUCAGGAUAUAAACUCCUCCUCAAAUCUGGUUGAGCCUGUGAGACCUCACUUCAUUUCCCUGCACAAGCAUAAAUGGUGAGUUAGUGAUAUUGUAAAGUAGGAAGUUAAAAAGCAAAUAAUAGUACAUCCUUAUUUUCCCCAGGUAUGAAUAAGAAUGAUUAUGACUACCAUUCAUGGAAUGACAGCUAGCUUUGUGCCAGGCACUUGACAUGCACUAUCUCAGUUAAUCUUUAAAAUGAUCCCCCUGAGACAGAAAUUUGUAUUGGUUAGAAUGCUUUAAGUCACAAGAAUCCCAAUACUCAGCUGACAGUGGCCUAAACCGUGGAGUCAUUUACUCAUCUCACCCAGCAGAGAGGUGAGCAGUUCCAGGGUGGUUCAGCAGCCCAAUGAUGUCAGGGCCAUGGGUGAGCAUCUCUGCAUCCUCCUGGCCUUCCCUUCCUGGUGUCAUGGUGAUGGCAGCUCCAAACAUCACCUUCUCACAUGACAGCACCCAAAGCAGAAAGAGAGGAAAGUAAGAGAAAAAAGAAUCUCCUCCCAUAUCUUCCCUGGCAGACGUCCACUUUUAGCCCAUUGGCCAGAACUGUGUCGUCUCUGCUGCAAAGGAGAAUGGGAAAGCACGUGUCCAUUAUGCUCAACUUCUAGUGUGAGGCAGCCAAAGAAGACAAGGUUGGGCGUGAGCUUUUGUUAUCUCCCUCUUACAGACAAGGAAGCUGAGACACGGGGAGGUCAUACUUACACUUGCCCAAGUCACACAGUUGGAAGUGGCAGAAUUCGGAUUAAAACUCAGGAAGGUCUGAUCUUGAGCCCAGACUCACGACUGGAUCCUCCCCUCAUGUGCUGUAGAGGGCUGCCUCGUCUUUAACAACCUGCCCUUUAGUUGUAUUUCCCUGCUCUUCCCAUUAACCUGAUGUUGAGGUCCAAUGUUGUAAAUUCUUUCUAUAAGACAAGAGCCACGGGCAGUGUCUCCCCAACAUAGUGAGGGACCUGAAGCUACCACUGAAAUAACAGAACUCUUAGGAAAGGAGCAAUUUAAGAGAGCGAUAGAGAGGGAUAUGUGUGGACUAGGUAACGUGGCAAAAUAGUAGGUUCAGCACAGUAGCUGGAAAACCAUCACGCAGACAGGAGUGGCUAAUGAAUGUCUGCUGUUCAGCAGCAUAUGUGCCACAGAAAUGAAGUUUAAGGUGAAGGGCAGGUCUCGGCCGCCCAGCAAACAUGUUUAACAUGUAAUGCCCGUUGAGCAUAGUACAAUUUCAAUGAUUUCUCUCCAUGAUUUUUCACACUGCUUUCAUUGGAAAACACAUUUUAAUUUCCAAGAGGGUAUGCCAGGACUGGUGGCUGAAGAGACUCAAGAAGUGUUUCUUGUACCAUCCAACUGGUGAAGAAUGCCAGCCAUGCCGUCCCCUGGGCCCAUGUGGCUCACCUUCACCCUGGCUGCCGAGGGGCAGCUCCUGGGACUGCCCGGCACUUCGGCCUCUCUGGCUGCUGAGGGUAGACUGUAGGGGGAUGUGGUAGGCAGAAUAAUGGCUCCCCAAAGAUGUCCAGUCCUAACCCCAGGAACCUGUGAAUAUGUUACCUUAUACGAUAGAAGGACUUGGCAGAUGUGAUGACGUUAGGAUCUUAAGAUGCGGAAAUUAUCCUGGAUUAUUCAGGCGGGCCCAACGUAAUCGCCAGGGUCCUUAUAAGGGAAAAAGAGAGGCAGGAGAGUCAAAGAAAGAUUCGACGAUGCUCUGAAUUGGAAGGUGGAGGAAGGGGCCAUGAGCCAAGGAAUGGAGGCAGCUUCCAGGAGCUGAAAAAGAUGAAGAGGUGGAUUCUUCCUUUGAGCCUCCAGCCUCUAGAAGGGAGGUCCAUUUUAGACUUCUGACCUCCAGAACUGUAAGAGAAUAACUGUGGGGUUUUUUUUAAGCUGUUCAGUUUGUGUUAGUUUGUUGCAGCAGCAAUAGGAAACUAACCCAGGAGCAAAAGUGGCAGCAGGUGCCAGUUGAAUGCCCACAGACAAGAUGAGAUAGGCAAGGUGACAUGGACACAGGCAGGGAAGGGGUAGGGGUCUGUGUGAGGACACAGCCCUGGCUGCCCUUUGCUCUCCAUGCUCUGUCUCCAUGCAUCCACAUUUGUGAACUGCUGUCCAAACCCCAGGCACGUUCCCAAAGUGGGCGGGAUACUCCUGUUUGGAGCCAAUCACCCACCUCAGGUCUCUGUGCUAGAAAGACACCAAAUAUCUCCUUCCAGAACUAAAGGGCUGACAACUAGCCCUUCAUUUCAGGGGCCACACUGAAUUUUCAGCCCCUUUCCUCGGCCACACUGAAUUGCUCCACUGGGUUUCUUUUCCAAAGUGUUUUCCUUGCUCAAGUUUUCAGUGAUUCAGCUGAUGGCACUGCUCUCUCUCUGGCUUCCCUGAGAGUCUUGGUUCAUUACAUCCAUUAGCACUUGCCGGUUUCUCCCCAGCAGGAGAUUUUCAAAAGCAUUAGUUCAAAUGGCAGCCGCGUCCCCUCCAGUGGAGUGCUGGCAUCCUGGCUCUCUGUUCUGGUUCCGACGUCCGCCCAUCCCUUGGCAGUGGAGCAUCCCAGGUGGCCUCUCUGCAUUGUGAGCUGUGUUUCUGGUUAGAGCAACCCGUGUACCCUUAGGCUUUACAAGGACUGCGUUCCUUUGCAGUCAUUGUUCUCUGA